rnacentral:lncRNA from 1 species
GUUGAAAAAUGUGUUUUCCACUCUUGCAGGUAUCAUUAAGGGGAGCACUGUGUUUAUGGUACCUUUCUGUACUGAUUGGACCAUCUCUAUUGACACAGGUUUCUCAUGUUACCAGGUGAUAACACUUCAUUAGUUCGACGGCUUCCAUUGUUCUGUCCUUCAUUAGAACACCUAUAAAUGUGAGCAGUGAGUAAAUCCUCAGUAUCUUCAUUCAGAAAGAAAAUUUAUAGUAAGUUGUCAUUAAGUGCAUUUGGAAUGUGAAGGGCAAGUAUUUUUUGUAACUGUCAGCUACCCAAAAGUAUGGAUACCAACAUUAAGUUCUGGUCACAGAGAGA